rnacentral:tRNA from 1 species
AAUAAGUUGGCAGACUAGUGCAAAUAAUUUAGGUUUAUUACAUGGGGGAACCCACUUAUUA